AGUUUUCUUUAUUUUUUUUUAUUUUUUUCAGACUUGUUAAACAAUUUAUUUUAUUUGGUUUAAUAAAAUUCUUGACUUUUACAAUGUUUUGAUUGUCCUAUAUUUUACUAUUGAGUUUUGAUAUUUUUUAUAAGUCUGUAUGAUAAUACUCCAUAAAAAGAAAAUUAAGAGACUGGACUUGGACGUUUUAUAUUCUCAUAGUGCCAUAUGUUGAACCUUAUUUUACAGAUCUAUAAUUAUUUACUAAAACAACUUUUAUUUAGGGGUACACAAUUUUUAGCUUGCCGGACCCUAUUGACAAUUUGAGCUUUUGCCAUAACUUGGUGUCCAUCCUGACCAUUAUAGUCAUAAACAUCCUCUGUGACCACUGGACCAAAACUCUUGUUUAUUUAUUUAGUGGUCAUUAACCAUCCAAUAAUAUGCAUAUUUUCCAUUGUUUUUUAUUUUUGAAAUUUAAACCACAAUUUUGAAAACCAAUUAACUGAGCAGAAAUUUUCAAUAAUGGAAUCAAAGAAUAUAAAUAUGUUAACAGUAUGAUUAAGUAUCUUUGUAACAUCAGCAUCCAUAUUGAAAUAUGAAUAUAUGUAUUGCUUAACCUUGAAAUGUAAAAGCUUAAUGAAUUAUUAAUGUGUAAAUCAUCUUGUAUAAUUUAAACAUGCUUUCUGUGCAAAUGAUAUAAGUAAUAAUGUAUUACAGUAUUUUGUUGAUGGUUCCCUGUUUAGCCUUUAAGGAAACAGUAUCUGGAAACUUUUUUUAACAGAAAUUUGAAUUAGGACUUAUUCUAAAAAGCAAUAAUUUGUGCUA
rnacentral:lncRNA from 1 species